UGGGGAAUUUUGGACAAUGGGCGAAAGCCUGAUCCAGCAAUGCCGCGUGUGUGAAGAAGGCCUUCGGGUUGUAAAGCACUUUUGUCCGGAAANAAAUCCUUGGCUCUAAUACAGUCGGGGGAUGACGGUACCGGAAGAAUAAGCACCGGCUAACUACGUGCCAGCAGCCGCGGUAAUACGUAGGGUGCAAGCGUUAAUCGGAAUUACUGGGCGUAAAGCGUGCGCAGGCGGUUUGCUAAGACCGAUGUGAAAUCCCCGGGCUCAACCUGGGAACUGCAUUGGUGACUGGCAGGCUAGAGUAUGGCAGAGGGGGGUAGAAUUCCACGUGUAGCAGUGAAAUGCGUAGAGAUGUGGAGGAAUACCGAUGGCGAAGGCAGCCCCCUGGGCCAAUACUGACGCUCAUGCACGAAAAGCGUGGGGGAGCAAACAGGAUUAGUACCCUGGUAGUCCACGCCCUAAACCGAUGUCAACUAGUUGUUGGGGAUUCAUUUCCUUAGUAACGUAGCUAACGCG
rnacentral:rRNA from 1 species